rnacentral:misc_RNA from 1 species
GUACAUUACCCCGUCCUCCGUAUAUCAUCAUCAAACGCCCUUCUCCGCCAUCUGCAGCAGAUGGCGCUUGUCAUCUCGGACGAAGCCACACGGGAGGCCGAGAGAAUUCUUGCCUGCAGCAACAGCUUCGAGGUUCUCGAGCUGAGUCCUAGCAAUUGCACAAAGGAAAUGGUGCUGGAGCAGUACGAGGCGAAGGUGUCGCUCUUCAAAGGGCUGUUUCGGAACAAACUAGCAAUGCAGGCGAAGGCCAAACUUGGCAACGCCAAAGUGCGCCUUGCAGACGCGCAACUGCGAGAGAAGGAGGCCGCAGCUCUCAAGGUGCUGCAGAGCGAUGCCCACAAAAACUACGCUGAGCUGCAGGCGCUAGAGGUCCGCACGCGCGUUCUGGAGAUGCGGGCCGCCACCGUUCAAGGCGAGGCGGCGUAGAGACUCAUCACGACUGCAACACAAGCUCUUCUGUCCCUCUGUAGAAAGAAAGAGUAAAAAAAAACAGAAAUGUGUACAGGACAGCGCGCCAAAGGUAACGGAGGCAACACCCAUUUUUGUAUGUUUUCACCGUGCUACCUCAUGAUGAAAUGGAGUGUCGCUGCGCAACAGCGAAGCUGCCCUCGCCCAACCUCGGCCUAUCCUUGGCCGUUUUACCAUAGGAAGCCCUUCUCUCUCCGCUCUGCGAGCACCGCUGCUAUUUUCUCUUUACCUCCGCCUCACAUCCGCCUUCUGGAUUUCUUCUUGUGAAG